AUCGAAAUCAGGGAGAAAGAAAGAGAGAAACCUGAAGGAGACAUGAUGAUGAGUUGGUCGGGUUUAGGGAUAGAAGCAUCGUGAACCUUCAUGGUGAUGCUACCGCCUGUUCCAGAUACCCAACCUUGAGUGUAGAAAUGACGGCAGAGCUCAGUCACCAGCGAGCUCGUCUCCUUCACCUCUUUACCCUCCAGAUACGCCUGCGGAAAACCGAUCGUCGCCGCCAUUGAUUGCCGGAGCGAGGUGUCAGUGAAAAUUCUGUAUUGUCAAAGGGUAUGUUGAGAAAAGUAACUGCAAGAAGACCCGAGAAUGUAUCAAAAAGGUAGUAUUUGGUAAAACCGAAAAUAUUCUCGCUAAGCUUUUGUGGAUUAUGAAAGCUUUUUACAAAAUCAGGAAAACUCAACAAACACGUUCUAGUGUUGGAAUUGUAUGGUGGGAGAAGUGCAGAUCAUCGGCACAAAUAGUUUUCCUACGAUGCAUUCACCAUUCUAACAAUUUAUGGUUUUACAUUGCAAAUAACAGGAUAUCUCCACGCAAUUCAAUUUUUUUGUUUUUUUCUAGAAAAAGUAGAAGAUAUGCAUGCAGAUUUCAGCCGCUAUAUAUUGGACGUUGUUUACGAGAAAUCUGCAAAUAUUUAAUUUUCAAUAUAUUUACUAGAUUUGGACCCGCACAACCAUGCGGGUAUUAAUUUUCAUGUUUAUAUAUAUAUUUUACAUAAUUAGAAUAUAUUUUUUAAGUUACUUAUAUAUCUAAAUGUUUAUAUAUAAUUAUUUUAAAUAUAACAAUUUGAUAGUUUUGAUGUUGUAAGUUAAUUUAUUAUUUCAAAUCAUCACAUAUAUUUGGUACUUUUUAUUAUAUAUAUUUUAAAAUUAUUUUUUAUUCAAUUAUUAUGAUGCUGAUCCGUAAUUCAAAGCGCUAGAUUUCUUUUAUCAAUAUUUUUUAUGUUUAUUCAUUUAAGAUAAUAACUAUAUAUAUAUAUAUAUAUAUAAGUUUAAGAUAAGUUAAUUUUAUACAUGAAUUAUCUAAUUUACUAAUGUUAACCCGUUCUAUCAACAUAUUAUAUUUCUAGCAUAAAUUUUUAAUGUUUGUGAAAAUAAAAUAUAUUAAUUUAUCAGUUUAAAAUAAUUUUAUCAUAUUUAGUUAAAUACAAUAUUUUAUUUUAAAAUGAUAGAUAUAACUAUAAAAUAGUAAAAUUUGAUAUAUUUUUUUUCAUUUUAUAAAAGAUAACUAUAUAUAUAUAUAAUGUAUAAUAACAUUAAUUUCAUUACUAAUUACAAAAUUAGUGAAAAUAUUUAUAUACAAUUUUUGAUAAUUAAGAUAUUGUUAUAAUGUUUUUCAACACAUUUGUUAAAAAAUUAAAUAUAUAUAUUUAUAUUUUAAAUUAAAAGAUAUCAAAUUAUAUUAUGAUUUAAGUAGUUAAAAGAUUAUAUAUUAGCAUUAAGGAAAUACAUUUAAUACAAAUUUUAAAUGAUGAUCCAAAUAAAAAUAUCACACAUGAGUCAAGGUGAGUUUGUUAAUCAAUUCGGGGUUUUAGGAGUCGAUAUUAUAUUAGGAAUGAUAUAUUAUUAAUCCAUAUUAUUAGUAAUAAAUGAAUGAUAACUGAUUUCUUGUGAGGGUCCAUUUUUUUAAAAAAAAAUCACACAUGAAUCAAAGUUGUGACUUCUGUUUUAAUAUAUACUAGGUGAUCAUCCGCGCCCUGCGCGGAGUGAAUUUAUUUAAUAGAAUUUAUAACUUUCAAUCUUAUAUAUUUGAAAUGUAAAAGUCAUUAUAACAAAUAUAUACAUGUUAUAUAAUUAUAGAUGUAACGUUUGAUAUAGAUAUCAAUAUAUAAAUUAUGUUUGGGCUUUUCCAUUUGAUGAGGUGUUGGAAUUGAAAGAAAUGAGUUUGUUUACUAAUACUUUAAGACUUAUUCUUGGGUUCACCCCUAUGGUGAACAUCUAGGUUCACCAACCAAUAAGAUUUCAUUAUUUCAAAUUCGAUAUUUUUUAUAAAAGGAAACAAAAUAUUGUCAAGUUAUAUUAUGUUUUUAAAAUAAAAAAAUAAAAAUAAAAAAAUAAAUAAAAAUAAUAAUUAAAAAAAAAAUUAACAUCGUCAGGAAAAAAACUAAACUCUAAAUCCUAAUCCCUAAACCCUAAAUCCUAAAACCUAAACCCUUGGGUAAAUUCUAAACCCUUAGAUAAAUAAUAAACUCUAAACCGAAAACACUAAACAGUAAUACACUCAAGAGUUUAGGGUUUAGGAUUUAGGAUUUAGGAUUUAGGAUUUUAGUGUUUAGUAUUUUUGAUUUAGAGUUUAUUAGUUAUCCAAGAGUUUAGGGUUUACCCAAGGGUUUAGGGUUUCGUAUUUAAGGUUUAGAGAUUACGAUUUAGGGUUUAGUAUUUUGCUAACGACGUAAAAAAUAUAAUAUAACUUGACAAUAUUUUGUUUCUUUUUUUAAAAGAUAUCAAAUUUGAAAUAAUGAAAUUCUAUUAGUUGUUGAACUUAUAGGUUCAUCCUAGGAGGUGAAUCCAAGAAUAACUCAUACUUUUAUACCUAAUAGUUUUACUAAAAAAAUUCUGACUCUUUCAAAAAAAACCAUAAUUGUCUACGGAUAAAAGUAAUCUGAUAAUCAUCCUUUGCUUGCAGAUCUUCUAUAUAUUGAAUAUCAUUUACAGCAACCAAAUCUCCAGAAAGGUCCUGUAGAAACAUGGAACAGUGGUUUAUCAUGAUUAGUUCGACUAUAGAUGAUAAUAUGACAACUAAAGCAUAAAAACGAUUGCAUCAGAAAAUUUUAAAUAAAUCGCUAAAUUAGUGGUACAUAUCACAUUAAUAUUUUCCUUAACAUACAUUAUAAUCAAUGGUCAUAUAUGUAUAUAUCAUAAUAUCGCUAUAUUGAGUCAAAGAUACACAAAUUAUUUUCGCUAAAUUAGUGAUACAUAUUACAUAAAUACUUUCCUUAACACACACUAUAAUCACUACACGAGUCACAUAUAUGUAUAUAGAAUAAUGUCGCUAUAAUAAAUAUAUGGCUAUAAGUAAGAACAUUGCAUAUAUAGUUACCUUUUACACACCUGUGGAUGCAACAUAUAAAUAGAUGGCAAUGGUUGUUCAAAAAAACAAAAAAAUAGAUGGCAAUAAAAAUUUAUAAGAUUACAAUUUUUUUUUGAAUUUAACUUCGACACUACUCCAAGUUGGUACAUACUAAUGAGACCCAAAUAAUAUUUCAGGUUUUUAAGAUUAUUAAAAAUUGUCUAAAUUGCGUUAAUUAGACUAAAUGUCUAUCUGGUCUCUUUUAACUACAUUAAGCAUAUUAAUCAAAGACAACAACAGUUUUGAUAUAGUAAGCGUAUUGGUUCAUAUUUGAUAACAUAACUGUUGAGUAUAUAGUAAACCUUAUUCUUAUUUUUUUAGUAACAGAUAAUUUUUUUUGUAUUUGGUUCCUUUGUCUUUCACGUAACUUUAGAGUAUAUGCUAAUGUUAUAUAUUAUUAAUAACAGUGAUUGUUAACAAGAUAAUUUUUUCACGAUAUUACCAAAACUGUUGUAUAUAUUAUUUUACACGUUUUUUGUAGUUGUCAUCCUCAUAUGGAUUUUUUAUUGUGUUAGUGAAUGAGUAAGUUUUGGUCAUUGAAAUUGAAAUGUCGAGUUUUUAACAUAGUGUAAUUUACAUUAUAUAAUAUAAAUUUGUUUAUUUCAAUGUACAUGAUGAAUACGUUUUCAAAAUUUAAUAUAUGGCUCAACGACUAUUUUAGAACACAGUUGUUAUACCAUAGAUGAAUCUACAUAAAAUUCUAGAUUUGGUUAAGACAAAUAAAUUAGUUAUUUCAGGUUUAGCUAAUGGAUGUCAGAUAGAAUAAUUUCGGUUCUAUACGAAACAUAUAGUAUAAUUUUGCCUAUUUAUAAUGAGUAACUAGGUAGUAACCCGCGCUUUGCGCGGGAUUAGAUAUCUAAAAAUAUGUUGAUUGUAUAUAUUAUGAUUAUGUAUAUAUAAGGUGUAGCUUUAGUAAACGGUGCAAAAAAUAUAAAGGUAUGAUUCAGUUAACUAUGAUGUUACGACUAUGUGAGUAUACGUGAGUAAUAUCAUUAACCCGAAGUUUAUGAGUCGGGUAUAGUCUGACUUGAUGUUGAUAUAGAUGUUAACUACUUGGCAACCAAUGUGAUUAUACAUGUUUUUUUUUGAUAAACUGAAGUCUAGAACUCGUCUUUAUGUUAAUAAACUAUGAAACUAUAGGUCAAAACAUCGAAAUUUGUUUAUUUUCGUAGAUUAAUCUAAAUGCAAAACGAAACCAUAACAAUAUGGAAUAAAUUAAUAAUAGUGUUCCUGAUUUAUAAAAAACAAUAAAAUAUCAUAAAAGCAAUUGAAGGUUAUUCGACCUUCAAAAAACAUAAUCUCCUAUAUAUUAAAGGAGAAACACUUAAAAUUUUUUCCUUAAAAAUCUAAUCUGAUGUGGUUUCAUGAGAGGCCUCUAUUUACAAAAAUGCAUACUGAAUUAUUUUAAAAAGAUUUUUAACCUUUGCGCUUUAUUGACAUAGUUUGCAAGUAACACAUUUGUAAUUUAUUUCAAGUAUGUAUAUACUGAAUUAUUUCUGAUUAUUUUAUACAACUUAUCCCAUGAUCGCUACCAUUAUGAAAGACCUCUAACAUGAUGUUCAGACGACAUACAUUUAUGAAAAAAACAUCUUGUAAGACCGUGCAUACCUUUAUAUACCGCCAUAUUACUGUUAUAUUGUUUGUAAACCGAGAUGCAAGAUCACACCCUGAAUGACAAUGUGUAGCAUCAUUGAAGAAAAUAGUAUUGAAAUUUAAAUCGAAUAUGAAUAAUAGAAAGAUAUAUGUUAAUAGGAAACGACAGAGAAUAGAGAGGUCAACAGCUACUUAUAACUUAAUUUAGAUUAUCCCCUAUAGAUUAAAGAUGGCAUGGAAUGGGUAAAUGUAAACAUAAUAAAAAUAGAGGCUUUAUAUUAAA